AAUAAAUAAAUAUUUUUUAAUAAAAAAAGAAUUUAAUUUUAUAAAAUAUAAAAAUCAACAAGUAAAUUUUUUAAAAGUUAAUUAAUUUGGUCCUAACUGUAAUUUAACCUUUAAGUGACGGUCACUUGGUACCCAACAGUGGUUGGUGGCGGCGGGUCGGUGCCACUAAUUAUCACUCAUCACUUAUGGCGUUUGUUUUUUUUAAAUCAAUCGCUUGCGGUGGUUUGGAUAAACGUAAACACAUAAAGCAAAACAAAAUAAAAUAAAUAAAAACUGAAAAAAGCCCAUGGCAAUUUGGGCUCCCACCGGGAUUAAAGUCACAAAUUCUCAAGUUCAACGCUUUAUCCACAACUGGUUUUUUCCUUUUCUCCUGGAACUCGCGUGUAUCUAUCUCCAUCUACCCUUUCAUCCAACGGUCUCAAACGGCCAGAACCAGCUGUAGUCUAUUGAUUGUCCAAUAAGAUAAUAAAAGAUAUUCCGUGUUACGGGAACUAAAAGCUAAAUAACAGACUGCCCUUUCUCUUUACGACGUUUCUUCUAAUAUAAAGCGACAGGCUUGAGAGGGCUCUCUACUUGUGUCUCUUGGGACUCGGGUAAAUUUUUCUUUGAGGAAAGGGGUUAUGGCGGUGGAGCUAUUUGUGUUGGGUUGCACUGGAGUUGUGAUGUUUCUCCACGGAGCUAAUUUCUUCUUCCAUGCUCUCUCGCAGCACCUAGCCGUUCGUUCUCUCAGUUUUCUGGGUUUUGCUGGAUGGUGAAGGAAAGUGAAGAUGGCAGCUCGCAGUGCUUCUCUUUGUAUAUAAUUAUUAUCUUUUUGGGGGCAAAAUAAGUGCUAGCGUAGAUUGUAAAAGCAAUACGGCUUCAAAACUCUGUAUAAAUUUUCGAUCUAAAUUUAUCUUAUUUGAUUCAUUUGUUA